rnacentral:rRNA from 1 species
GACGAACACUGGCGGCGUGCUUAACACAUGCAAGUCGAACGGAAAGGCCCUGCUUUUGUGGGGUGCUCGAGUGGCGAACGGGUGAGUAACACGUGAGUAACCUGCCCUUGACUUUGGGAUAACUUCAGGAAACUGGGGCUAAUACCGGAUAGGAGCUCCUGCUGCAUGGUGGGGGUUGGAAAGUUUCGGCGGUUGGGGAUGGACUCGCGGCUUAUCAGCUUGUUGGUGGGGUAGUGGCUUACCAAGGCUUUGACGGGUAGCCGGCCUGAGAGGGUGACCGGCCACAUUGGGACUGAGAUACGGCCCAGACUCCUACGGGAGGCAGCAGUGGGGAAUAUUGCACAAUGGGCGGAAGCCUGAUGCAGCAACGCCGCGUGCGGGAUGACGGCCUUCGGGUUGUAAACCGCUUUCGCCUGUGACGAAGCGUGAGUGACGGUAGUGGGUAAAGAAGCACCGGCUAACUACGUG